AGAAACCAUCGCCUUCUCCGGUGAGAAGGCAACCCAGAGGUCGCCUUCUCACCGGAGAAGGCGACCCAUGUA
rnacentral:pre_miRNA from 1 species